GCCGCUAUCGUCUAGUGGUCAGGACAUCGGGUUCUCAGCCCGAAAACAGGGGUUCGAAUCCCCUUAGCGGUACCA
rnacentral:tRNA from 1 species